rnacentral:rRNA from 1 species
UACGUAGGGUGCGAGCGUUAGUCGGAAUUACUGGGCGUAAAGCGUGCGCAGGCGGUUCGCUAAGACCGAUGUGAAAUCCCCGGGCUUAACCUGGGAACUGCAUUGGUGACUGGCGGGCUAGAGUAUGGCAGAGAGGGGUAGAAUUCCACGUGUAGCAGUGAAAUGCGUAGAGAUGUGGAGGAAUACCGAUGGCGAAGGCAGCCCCCUGGGCCAAUACUGACGCUCAUGCACGAAAGCGUGGGGAGCAAACAGG